rnacentral:rRNA from 1 species
UACGUAGGUGACCAGCGUUGUCCGGAUUUACUGGGCGUAAAGAGCGCGCAGGCGGUCGUUCAAGUCGAGUGUGAAAGCCCCCGGCUCAACUGGGGAGGGUCAUUCGAUACUGAUCGACUUGAAGGCAGGAGAGGGAAGCGGAAUUCCCGGUGUAGUGGUGAAAUGCGUAGAUAUCGGGAGGAACACCAGUGGCGAAGGCGGGCUUCCUGGCCUGUUCUUGACGCUGAGGCGCGAAAGCUAGGGGAGCAAAACGGG